rnacentral:lncRNA from 1 species
AACAGGUAGACACAAGAAAUGGGCUAUAGGGAAGCAAAUUUUUUAAGUUAAAAGAAAAAUAUCAGUGAAAUAGCUGAAGACUCUAAGGAGAGUAGGAGUCAGGAAAGCUGAGAAUCUAAAGAACCUACACUUGAUAGUAUUUCCCAGUGGGAAGUCCUUCCAGCUCAUUCAUUCCCCUAGUUUUUCCAGGGCUAAUCAUAUUCCUCAACCUGUCAAGUCCUCUCAUUAAUAGACCUUACCUCAGUUUCACUAUUAUUUUCCUCAUGCCCUUAUUUUCCUCCUAAUCCAGUUGAUCCCAUGUGUGUCUAUUAUUAUCGUCAUUAUUCUGCAUAAUUGGGACUAAACUUGCAAAGAAAAUUAAAAACGUAUUGAAGAAAAUGAAAACCUUAAAAGAAGACCUGUAUGAAAGAAAAAACAAGAUUCUCGGAUAGGAAGACUCAACUCCAUAAAUGUAUCAGUUUAGUUGAAAUUAAGAAUUGCCAGGAAAAAAAAAAAGAACAUGAGUGAGAGCAAGUUUAACCAGCUAUUACAAUGUAUAAUAAGGUGGUUGUUUGCAAUUAGAUACAUGGGUUCCAAAAUGCACAAUCUAUACCAAGAUAAGCUUCAAAUUGAUCAAAAAUUGAAAGUAAAAAUGGAAACUAUCAAGAAGAAUUAUUUCAUUAUCUAAAAGUGGGGAACCUCAAUGUUCACUGCAACACUUUACAAUAGUCAGGACGUGGAAGUAACCUAAUGUCCAUCAACAAAGGAAUGGAUAAAGAUGUGGCAAAUAGAUACAAUGGAAUAUUACUCAGCCAUAAAAGGGAAUGAAAUUGUGCCAUUUAUCGAGAUGUGGAUGGACCUACAGACUGUCAUACAGAGUGAAGUAAGGCAGAAAGAAAAAAAUCAUAGAAUAUCACUUAUAUGUGGAAUCUAGAAAAAUGGUACAGGUGAAUUUAUCUGCAAAGCAGAAAAUAGAGACACAGGUGUAGAGAAAAAAUGUAUGGAUAGCAAAGGGAGAGAGGGAGGUGGGACAAACUGGGAGAUCGGGACUGACACAUAUAGACUGCUAUGUAUAAAAUAGAUAACUAAUGAGAACCUACUUAGAGCACAGGGAACACCAUGCAGUGCUCUCUGGUGACCUAAACGGGAAGGAAACCUAAAAAAGAGAGGAUACAGGUAUAUAGAUAGCUGAUUCACUUUGCUGCACAGCAGAAACUAACACAACAUUGUUCAGUUCAGUUGCUCAGUCGUGUCCGACUCUUGCGACCCCAUGAAUCG